AACCUUAUGGACCUGCGGGCGUAUACCUGCGGAAGGAUCAUUACAGGGGUUUUAAAUGCUAAGCUUUGGAGGUGGGGGUUUUUCGCCUCCCCUCCGGGCGGCAUUCUAACCACCAUAAUUCACCGUGUGCACUCAUUUGGACUAUGAAAAUACUUCAUGGUCCUCAAUCUUUCUACGUCUUAUCACAUGUCUGAUGUAUUAUUUUUCAAAUAUUGAUAAAAUACAACUUUCAACAACGGA
rnacentral:misc_RNA from 1 species